rnacentral:tRNA from 2 species
GCCGGUGUGGCAGAAUCCGGUAUUGCGCCAGUCUUGAAAACUGGUCCCGCAAGGGGUUUUAGGUUCAAAUCCUAACGCCGGCG